rnacentral:tRNA from 2 species
UCCACAGUAGCUCAAUGGUAGAGCUAUCGGCUGUUAACCGAUCGGUCGUAGGUUCGAGUCCUACCUGUGGAGCCA